GUCUAUGGACACGCUACCCUGAACAAGCCCAAUCCCGUCUGAUCUCGGAAGCUAAGCAGGGUCUGGCUCUGGUUAGUACUUGGAUGGGAGACCACCUAGGAAGACCAAGUGCUAUAGGUG
rnacentral:rRNA from 1 species